AUGAUGAGUAAUGAGGGUGGUUACACAGGGCUGCAGUGGCACUCUGUGCACCCGCUGCUCUUUCUGAAGAUCCACCAGACUCGGAGGAUAUCAGUUUGAUCAGCAGCAG